rnacentral:rRNA from 1 species
UAAUGCAUUUUAAUGCAACCGGUGGUGUCACAAAAUCGGAGGCCACGACUGUUUACUAAAAACACAAUUCAGAGCAAUGAUGAAAAUCAUAGUAUUCUGGAUGAAAUUUGCCCGAUGCCAUAUAACAUAAAAAAGGUAAUAGGAAACUGUUACUAAUUGAAAGUCUGGUUAAUAGCGGUCUUAACUAUGAGGAUCCUAAGGUAGCAAAAUCAGUUGGCCAUUAAAUGUGGUCUGGUAUCAAUAGUGUAACGAUGGUCUCACUGUCUCUACAACUUGCUCAGUGAAAUUGAAUUGAUCCGUGCAGAUGCGGAUU